UUAAUUCGGGGUUUUAGCUGAAGGCACUUGAAAGUCUGGUGCUUGAACGUAUUGGACGUUUCCUGUAUCAAGGAAGAAGGAUUUCCACGUCCUGUUCAACUCAACUUGUGCGAGUACAUAUGAUCCUCGAUCGUCCGACAUUAUCCCAUGUGAAGUUCUCGAGAACGCCAAAGAUAUAAAAAGUAGUGUGAAACCAGAGGAAUAGAAAAACUAUUGACCAAGACUAGGACUGAAAUUAGGAUAUCAACUUUUAGGCUGAGGAAGACUAAGGAGCGCACAGCAUGGAAAAAUUUGAACUCUGUGGAAACCGGCAUCCCCAUGAAUUUUUGAAAGAGUCAUGUGGUUAACUGGUGUACAAUCUGGUUUGGCAGGUGCUUCACUGAAACUUGCGUCUACUUUCUCUUGCAUAUUUUGAUCCCUAGGGAAUAUAUAGAGAAGACGAGGGUAGGUUUUUGUUUGAAACAUGAGCCAGAGAUAGUAUUAUUAGUUUAUGAAAAUCAAAGCAAGUGUUAGAGAAGCUCUGUGAUUAUGGUCUUUUGUGUUUUGACCAGUUGUUGGACCCUGAACAGCUAAUAAAUGGUGUCAAGGAUAAUCCAAUUUCUUACUAAGACAUUAGAUCCAAAAAUUACUUCAGAUUAUGGGUUUUUCGUAGUGAUCCCCCAUGUAUAGCAGAUGUGAUUAUGGUUCUUAUUAGACUUUGGGCUAUUCCUAGGAUUUUUGAAAAAUAAAUUUAAACUAAGAAAGUUGGGAUAAAUGUACAGAACCGUUUUGGAUGUAUAGCCAAAAUUUCUUGCACUGUCUGUCUAUAUGUGAACCAUUGAGUUUUUUUUAUUCCUUACAAGACUCAAUUUUCAUCAUAAAUAUG